rnacentral:rRNA from 1 species
UACGGGGGGGGGGCAAGCGUUUGUUCGGAAUUACUGGGCGUAAAAGGGCUCGUAGGCGGCCAACUAAGUCAGACGUGAAAUCCCUCGGCUUAACCGGGGGAACUGCAUCUGAUACUGGAUGGCUUGAGAUUGGGGAGAGGGAUGCGGAAUUCCAGGUGUAGCGGUGAAAUGCGUAGAUAUCUGGAGGAACACCGGUGGCGAAGGCGGCAUCCUGGACCGAGAUUGACGCUGAGGCGCGAAAGCCAGGGGAGCAAACGGG